GAGUUUGAUUCUGGCUCAGGACAAACGCUGGCGGCGUGCUUAACACAUGCAAGUCGAACGAUGAAACGGAACGGAAGUUUUCGGAUGGAAGUUCUGUGGAUUAGCGGCGGACGGGUGAGUAAUGCAUGAAGAACCUGCCUUUCACAUAGGAAUAGCCUCGGGAAACCGGGAUUAAUACCAAAUGACACUCCGAGAUCGCAUGUUUUUGGGGUUAAAGAUUUUAUCGGUGAAAGAUGGCUUCAUGUCCCAUUAGCUGGUUGGUGAGGUAACGGCUCACCAAGGCGACGAUGGGUAGCCGGCCUGAGAGGGUGAACGGCCACAUUGGAACUGAGACACGGCCCAAACUCCUACGGGAGGCAGCAGUGGGGAAUAUUGCACAAUGGAGGGAACUCUGAUGCAGCGACGCCGCGUGAGCGAUGAAGGUCUUCGGAUCGUAAAGCUCUGUCCUAAGGGACGAUAAUGACG
rnacentral:rRNA from 1 species